UAAAGCGCACGCAGGCGGUCUGUCAAGUCGGAUGUGAAAUCCCCGGGCUCAACCUGGGAACUGCAUUCGAAACUGGCAGGCUUGAGUCUUGUAGAGGGGGGUAGAAUUCCAGGUGUAGCGGUGAAAUGCGUAGAGAUCUGGAGGAAUACCGGUGGCGAAGGCGGCCCCCUGGACAAAGACUGACGCUCAGGUGCGAAAGCGUGGGGAGCAAACAGGAUUAGAUACCCUGGUAGUCCACGCCGUAAACGAUGUCUACUUGGAGGUUGUGCCCUUGAGGCGUGGCUUCCGGAGCUAACGCGUUAAGUAGACCGCCUGGGGAGUACGGCCGCAAGGUUAAAACUCAAAUGAAUUGACGGGGGCCCGCACAAGCGGUGGAGCAUGUGGUUUAAUUCGAUGCAACGCGAAGAACC
rnacentral:rRNA from 7 species